AAAAUCCCCAACAAAACCCAUAAACAAUAACCCCUAAACAAUAAGGGAGGGAAGGGAGGGUGGCUGCCGUCACCGACGGCACUGUGCUACACCCUCCCUCCCCAACCCACCUAUCCUGGAGGUGGCUCCGGUGCAGGACGUGGACCCUGCUCCACCCUCGGCGUCGCCCACUUUGGUGGAGCCGAUAGCUGCACCAGGCAGACGGACCCCUCGAGCCGGGCCGGAGGACAGGAGGGCCCUUCGGGCUGGGCCGGGGAACAGGAGGGCCCCUCGGGCUGGGCCGGGGGGCAGGAGGGCCCCUCGGGCUGGGCCGGGGAGCAGGAGGGCCCCUCGGGCUGGGCCGGGGAGCAGGAGGGCCCCUCGGGCUGGGCCGGGGAGCAGGAGGACCCCUCGGGCUGGGCCGGGGAGCAGGAGGACCCCUCGGGCUGGGCCGGAGAGCAUGCGGGCCCCUCGGGCUGGGCCGGAAGGCAUGCGGGCCACUCGGGCUGGGCCGGAAGGCAUGCGGACCACUCGGGCUGGGCCGGAAGGCAUGCGGGCCACUCGGGCUGGGCCGGAAGGCAUGCGGGCCACUCGGGCUGGGCCGGAAGGCAUGCGGGCCACUCGGGCUGGGCCGGAAGGCAUGCGGGCCACUCGGGCUGGGCCGGAGGGCAGGAGGACCACUCGGGCUGGACCGGAGGGCAGGAGGACCACUCGG
rnacentral:lncRNA from 1 species